CCUGCCGGCACCCGCGAGAUCGUUGGCUCCCGAGCAGCUGCAGGGCCUCGGUGAGCAGGAAGUGGAGGGUCUUGAAGGAGAAGCGGUGGAGACAUGGAGCUGGUGGAUGAUGACCAUACCUGAAGUCCAUCCCUGAGGCCCACAGACACCAGUAGGAGAGACAUCAUGGCUGGAAUCUUCAUGUUGGAGGCAUAAUGGAUAUGAGCUACCUACUUAUUUUACUACAGAGUAAGACAGACGUGUAUUAUUACAACGUAAUGCUGGUUGUAAGAAGGCUUCAUCCAGCUUGGGAUAGCUCCUGUGAUCGUGCCAGGAGAAGACACUCGUGUGGUACCCUGUCUCUAUUGGCAUCCAGCCUCUCAGGAUGGUCACCUGGGAAUCCUUUCAUUCAGUCUUUCAUCACACAUGACUGCAG